rnacentral:rRNA from 1 species
UACGUAGGGUGCAAGCGUUGUCCGGAAUUAUUGGGCGUAAAGAGCUCGUAGGCGGUUUGUCGCGUCUGCUGUGAAAACCCGAGGCUCAACCUCGGGCCUGCAGUGGGUACGGGCAGACUAGAGUGCGGUAGGGGAGAUUGGAAUUCCUGGUGUAGCGGUGGAAUGCGCAGAUAUCAGGAGGAACACCAAUGGCGAAGGCAGAUCUCUGGGCCGUAACUGACGCUGAGGAGCGAAAGCAUGGGUAGCGAACAGG